UUGGAAAGAGAGUCAAACAGUACGUGAAAUUGUUGAAAGGGAAGCGCUUGCGACCAGACUUGCCCGCGGGUGAUCAACCGGUAUUCUUACCGGUGCACUCACCCGCGGUCAGGCCAGCAUCGGUUCGGGCGGCUGGAUAAAGUCCACUGGAAUGUAGCUCCUCUCGGGGAGUGUUAUAGCCAGAGGUGCCAUGCAGCCCGCCCGGACCGAGGACCGCGCUUCGGCUAGGAUGCUGGCGUAAUGGUUGUAAGCGACCCGUCUUGAAACACGGACCAAGGAGUCUAACAUCUAUGCGAGUGUUUGGGUGUCAAACCCAUGCGCGUAAUGAAAGUGAACGGAGGUGGGAACCCUUCAGGGUGCACCAUCGACCGAUCCUGAUGUCUUCGGAUGGAUUUGAGUAAGAGCAUAGCUGUUGGGACCCGAAAGAUGGUGAACUAUGCCUGAAUAGGGUGAAGCCAGAGGAAACUCUGGUGGAGGCUCGCAGCGGUUCUGACGUGCAAAUCGAUCGUCAAAUUUGGGUAUAGGGGCGAAAGACUAAUCGAACCAUCUGCUACUAGAUGGCAUACGGGCCUGUGUGCCCCAGUAGUCCGCGCGUGACGUGGGCAACAUCGUCGGUCUCUUCGGGAACGCCUCCAGGCUACCCGCAGUGAGCCUCGGGCUCAUUCACAGACUAAGUGGCGGUGGCUGUGCCCCGGAGCACGGUUAGGAUAUAG
rnacentral:rRNA from 1 species